GGGGAUGUGGCUCAGUGGUAGAGCACUUGCCUAGCAUGUGUGAGGCCCUGGGUUCAAUUCUCAGCACCA
rnacentral:tRNA from 1 species